CAGUCGCCGCGGGAAUACGAGGGGGGCAAGCGUUGUUCGGAAUUAUUGGGCGUAAAGGGUGCGUAGGCGGCCCCGCAAGUCUCAUGUGAAAUCUUCAGGCUCAACUUGAAGUCUGCAUGGGAAACUGCGGGGCUGGAGUAUGGGAGAGGUGAGUGGAAUUCCUGGUGUAGCGGUGAAAUGCGUAGAUAUUAGGAAGAACACCAGUGGCGAAGGCGACUUUCUGGACGAAAACUGACGCUGAGGCGCGGAAGCCAGGGGAGCGAACGGGAUUAGAUACCCCCGUAGUCCCUGUCUCUUAUAC
rnacentral:rRNA from 1 species